CAGACUCCAAAUCCAAGCCCAAGUGGAAGCAAAAUCUACUAUUCAUAGAUAACAUAUUGUGGGUAAUCGGGUGAUCGGAUCAAUUCGAAGAAAUCACACAAUCUGAGGUUCUUUAGUAAAUUAUGAAUUCGAUUUGGCUUAUAUGGCAUUUAAUAUGACCAUUGAUCAUAUUCCGUAAUGUUUCAUAAGUACAUGUAAUUUGUUUGGGUUGUGCAUUUUGAUGUUGUGGUAUGAAUAGUUAAUGUGGUAUGUAUGUUUAAUUUCAUGUUUAAGCAUAAGUAAACAAGUAUGAAAUGGUAAGUGUGGUACAAA